rnacentral:tRNA from 1 species
UGGAUCACCUCCUAACAGGGAGACAACAAAAUGUUUAAUAUUAUUAUUUUGUCACCUUAGGUCGAUCGGUAUCUCACGUUCUUAAUUUGUUAAGAAUUUCAUUUCCUAAGUUUUUCUAGGUCACACCCAUUAUUUUUCCUGGGCCAUUAGCUCAGGUGGUUAGAGCGCACCCCUGAUAAGGGUGAGGUCCCUGGUUCAAGUCCAGGAUGGCCCAUAUCUCUAUGUUGGGGGUAUAGCUCAGUUGGUAGAGCGCCUGCUUUGCAAGCAGGAUGUCAGCGGUUCGAGUCCGCUUACCUCCACUGAUUACCACCUCUUCCAUAACUGGUAAAAAAGGAAAUUUUUUGAGUUGUGAUCAUUACUCUGAACGAAUCUAGCUUCCUAAUGAAAUCAUUAAGAUGCUGGACUCAUUGAAUUAAUUUCAUUGUUUUCAGAGAACCUUGACAACUGCAUAGAUUAUUUUAAAGACAAUAAGCAUCUUUAAUGAUGCAGAUUUAUUAUUUGUGCGAAUGCAUUAAUAACAAUUCUAUUAAGCUGAUGCUUCAAUUAUUGAAGUUAUUGGUCAAGCUACAAAGGGCUCACGGAGGAUACCUAGGCACACAGAGGCGAUGAAGG